GCGAAGGUGUGGGCGGGAGCAGCGGUAAUACAGGGUGCCCAAGAGUUGGUCGGAGGUACUGGGCGGAAAGGGUGCGGAGGGGGCGAGGGAAGUCGGAAGUGAAAGCGCGGAGCUCAAAUCCGAAAUUGCAUUGGAAACUACCGUGCUCGAGGGUUGGAGGGGGGACUGGAAUUCUCGGUGUAGCAGUGAAAUGCGUAGAUAUCGAGAGGAACACCAGUGGCGAAGGCGAGUCCCUGGACAACUCCUGACACUGAGGCACGAAAGCUAGGGGAGCAAACAGGAUUAGAUACCCGAGUAGUC
rnacentral:rRNA from 1 species